rnacentral:rRNA from 1 species
AUGGGUUCCGAGGCGAUGGAAGCUGCGGGAGCGCGAGAUCCACCGGAGCGUCGCCGGGGCGCCGUCAUGGCCGUCCUCCUCGCCGCGCUGCCGCUGCUGCUCCUGCUCUUCCUCUUCGGCGACCGGGCCGCCUCCAUCGCCGCCGACGCCCUGGCCAGGGCGCAGGUGAAACAGCAGAGUCCACGUAACGCCUCCUCGUCGCCCCGGGAACCGGACCGGCUCCUCGGCGGCCUCCUCUCGCCGAACUUCGACGAGCCGGCGUGCCGCAGCCGCUACGAGGGCUCCCGCCGAUGGAAGCCGUCGCCGUUCCCGGUCUCGCCUUAUCUGGUCCGGAAGCUGAGGCAGUACGAGGCCAACCACCGCCGGUGCGGGCCGGACACGUCGCGGUACCGCGAGGCCAUGGCGCAGCUCCGGUCCGGCCGCAACGGCGACCGCGGCGAGUGCAGGUACGUGGUGUGGCUGCCCGUCCAGGGCCUCGGCAACCGGAUGCUCAGCCUCGUCUCCACCUUCCUCUACGCGCUGCUCACCGCCCGCGUCCUCCUCGUCCACGAGCCACCGGAGAUGGAGGGCCUCUUCUGCGAGCCCUUCCCGGGGACCUCCUGGCUGCUGCCCGCCAGCUUCCCCUACAAGGACGUCCGCUUCGGGUCGGAAUCCAAGGAGAGCUACGUGACCAUGCUCCAGAACAACGUCGUCCGCUACGACGGCGGCAAUGCCUCCAGCGCGCUCCCGGCGUACGUGUACCUCCACCUGGAGAACAUGAACCUCCGGCUCCAGAGCCACACCUUCUGCGAGGAGGACCACCGCGCGCUCGACGGCUUCAACUGGAUGGUGCUCCGCUCCGACAGCUACUUCGCCGUGGCGCUCUUCCUCGUGCCCACGUACAGCGACGAGCUGGAGCGCAUGUUCCCAUCCAAGGGGUCCGUGUUCCACCACCUCGGCAGGUACCUCCUCCACCCGGGGAACCCGGCGUGGGGGAUCGCGCAGAGGUUCUUCGACGGCUACCUCGCCGGCGCCGACCAGCGCCUCGGGGUGCAGGUGCGGAUCGUCUGGCACCACCCCGUCCCGUUCGACGUCAUGUUCGACCAGAUCCUCCGGUGCACGCGGGAGCACCGUCUCCUGCCGCAGCUCACCGGCAGCGAACCCCCUGCCAUCGUCCGGCCGUCGUCGAACACCACGGCGACGUCCAAGGCGAAUAAGGUGAAGGCCGUGCUGGUGGUGUCGUUGAAGCCCGAGUACUACGACAAGCUCCACGGCAUGUACUACAACAACGCCACCGCCUCCGGCGAGCUCGUCACCGUGUACCAGCCGAGCCACGACCAGGACCAGCACACGGAGGCGCGCGCGCACAACGAGCGCGCCCUCGCCGAGAUCUUCCUGCUCAGCUACUGCGACGAGAUGGUCACCACGUCGUGGUCGACCUUCGGGUACGUGGCGCACGCGCUGGCCGGCCUGCGCCCAAGGCUGCUGGCCCCGCUGGACUUGAGCAAGAUGAGGUCCGACGUGGCGUGCGUCAGGCCCGCGUCCAUCGAGCCGUGCCUGCACUCGCCGCCGUCGCUCGUCUGCCGGCGCAAGCAGGAUCUUGACCCCGUGGCCCAUGUGCCCUUCCUGCGCCAUUGCGAAGAUGUGGAUUUCGGUCUCAAGCUCGUCGACUGA